GUGCCAGCAGCCGCGGUAAUACCGGCAGCUCGAGUGAUGGCCGAUUUUAUUGGGCCUAAAGCGUCCGUAGCUGGCCGCGCAAGUCCAUCGGAAAAUCCACCCGCCCAACGGGUGGGCGUCCGGUGGAAACUGUGUGGCUUGGGACCGGAAGGCGCGACGGGUACGUCCGGGGUAGGAGUGAAAUCCCGUAAUCCUGGACGGACCGCCGGUGGCGAAAGCGCCUCGGGAAGACGGACCCGACAGUGAGGGACGAAAGCUGGGGUCUCGAACCGGAUUAGAAACCCCAGUAGUCC
rnacentral:rRNA from 1 species